GGAGACGUGGCUCAGCGGCAGAGUAUCUGCUUGGCGUGCAGAAGGUUGAGUGUUCAACUCCCGGCAUCUCCC